rnacentral:rRNA from 1 species
CAGCAGCCACGGUAAUACGGAGGGUGCGAGCGUUAAUCGGAAUUAUUGGGCGUAAAGGGCUCGCAGGCGGUUCCUUAAGUCUGAUGUGAAAGCCCCCGGCUCAACCGGGGAGGGUCAUUGGAAACUGGGAAACUUGAGUGCAGAAGAGGAGAGUGGAAUUCCACGUGUAGCGGUGAAAUGCGUAGAGAUGUGGAGGAACACCAGUGGCGAAGGCGACUCUCUGGUCUGUAACUGACACUGAGGCACGAAAGCGUGGGGAGCAAACAGGAUUAGAUACCCCCGUAGUCCCUGUCUCUUAUAC